GAUGAACGCUGGCGGCGUGCUUAACACAUGCAAGUCGAGCGGACAAGCGCGUUCCUUGCUGCUCUGUCGUGAGGAGCGGCGGGCUGAGUAACAACACGUUAACCUCCCUCUCCGACUGUCAUGACUACCGCAAACCGGAGUUACUAACGGGUGAUAUUUUGAACCGCUUGGUUCAUUAGUGUGAGAAGGUUUUGCUUUCGCUUAUGGAUGGGUCCGCGCCGCAUUAGCUAGUUGGUAGGGUGAUGGCUUACCAAGGCGACGAUGCGUAGCCGACCUGAGAGGAGGAUCGGCCACAAUGGAACGGAUACGCGGCCCAGACGCCUACGGCAGGCAGCAGUAGGGAAGCUUCCGCAAUGGGCGAAAGCCGGAUGGAGCAACGCCGCGGGAUGGAUGAAGGUCUUCGGAUCGUAGAACUCUGUUAUUGGGAGAGAACAAGGGCCGAAUUAUUUAUGGGCGUCUUGACGGUACCUAAACAAGAAGCCACGGCUAACUACGUG
rnacentral:rRNA from 1 species